rnacentral:rRNA from 1 species
UGCGUAGGGGGCAAGCGUUGUCCGGAUUUAUUGGGCGUAAAGAGCGUGUAGGCGGCCAGACAAGUCUGCUGUGAAAACUCGAGGCUCAACCUCGAGCUGUCGGUGGAAACUGUCUGGCUAGAGUCCGGAAGAGGAGAGUGGAAUUCCCGGUGUAGCGGUGAAAUGCGCAGAUAUCGGGAAGAACACCUAUGGCGAAGGCAGCUCUCUGGGACGGUACUGACGCUGAGACGCGAAAGCGUGGGGAGCGAACAGG